rnacentral:rRNA from 1 species
UUCGGGGACAUUGGUGACAGGUGGUGCAUGGUUGUCGUCAGCUCGUGUCGUGAGAUGUUGGGUUAAGUCCCGCAACGAGCGCAACCCUUGUCUUUAGUUGCCAUCAUUAAGUUGGGCACUCUAGAGAGACUGCCAGGGAUAACCUGGAGGAAGGUGGGGAUGACGUCAAAUCAUCAUGCCCCUUAUGCUUAGGGCUACACACGUGCUACAAUGGGUAGUACAGAGGGUUGCCAAGCCGUAAGGUGGAGCUAAUCCCUUAAAGCUACUCUCAGUUCGGAUUGUAGGCUGAAACUCGCCUACAUGAAGCUGGAGUUACUAGUAAUCGCAGAUCAGAAUGCUGCGGUGAAUGCGUUCCCGGGUCUUGUACACACCGCCCGUCACACCACGGGAGUUGGAGACGCCCGAAGCCGAUUAUCUAACCUUUUGGAAGAAGGCGUCGAAGGUGGAAUCAAUAACUGGGGCUAAGUCGUAACAAGGUAGCCGUAUCGGAAGGUGCGGCUGGAUCACCUCCUUUCUAAGGA